CGAAUUCUUUCCACAGACCAACAACAAAGUUUCCAUCAUGAAAGUCGUCUUAAUUCUCGCUAUCGUGAUCGUUGCAGUAUAUGCCGAUGUCUGUACAACUGGUCCUAGAGACUGCUCACUAACGAUGUGUCCCACGGGGGCGGAGCUUCACUGUGUGGACAGUCUGUGCACGUGUACUACACCAGCCAUAGGAAGCGGAGCCUGCAGCACGGGACCUGAUUGUCAUGAGAGGUGCCCGCAUGGACGACCCCAUUGUAUCGAUGGUCAUUGUAGAUGUGGACAUCAAUAAAUGAUUAUUCUUAAAACCUUUUUUUUUCUUUUAGAUAAAUAUCUUCUUAUAUUGAAAUCAACAUUAAGUAAGUAAGUAAGUAAUUUUUAUUUAAAGUCGGAACUAUAUACAGGUAAACAAUAAACAUGAGCUAAGAGCUCUUUAACCGACU